CACGGUAAGAGAGGAGCUCAUGGGAUAUCAGCUUGUUGGUGUGGUAAAAGCGCACCAAGGCUAAGACGUCUAGGCGGACUGAGAGGUUGACCGCCAACACUGGGACUGAGACACUGCCCAGACACCUACGGGUGGCUGCAGUCGAGAAUCUUCGGCAAUGGGCGAAAGCCUGACCGAGCAAUGCCGCGUGCGGGAUGAAGGCCCUCGGGUUGUAAACCGCGAAAGUGAGGAGGAAGGGCCCGUGAAGAGCGGGUCUUGACCGAUCCACAGUAAGGACGGGCUAAGUUCGUGCCAGCAGCCGCGGUAACACGAACCGUCCAAACGUUAUUCGGAAUCAUUGGGCUUAAAGGGUGCGUAGGCGGCUUUGCAAGUCAGGUGUGAAAUCCUACAGCUCAACUGUAGAACUGCGCUUGAAACUGCAAGGCUUGAGUAUGACAGGGGUGUGUGGAACUUCCAGUGGAGCGGUGAAAUGUGUUGAUAUUGGAAGGAACACCGGUGGCGAAAGCGACACACUGGGUCAUAACUGACGCUGAGGCACGAAAG
rnacentral:rRNA from 1 species